rnacentral:rRNA from 1 species
UACGAAGGGGGCUAGCGUUGCUCGGAAUCACUGGGCGUAAAGGGUGCGUAGGCGGGUCUUUAAGUCAGGGGUGAAAUCCUGGAGCUCAACUCCAGAACUGCCUUUGAUACUGAAGAUCUUGAGUUCGGGAGAGGUGAGUGGAACUGCGAGUGUAGAGGUGAAAUUCGUAGAUAUUCGCAAGAACACCGGUGGCGAAGGCGGCAAUCCUGGACCAAUACUGACGCUGAGUGAGCGAAAGCCAGGGGAGCAAACGGG